rnacentral:rRNA from 1 species
GGAUCAUUGUCGAAAUCGAACGGAAGAACGACCCGCGAAUCGUCAUUGCGUAGUAGACAGAGCCCGUGAGCACCUAACGCUCACGGGUCUCGCGUCGCGUCGGCGCGGGUGUACUCGAGACCCGCGUCGUACCGGCGGACAAACAACGUCAGCACGGAUCGUGCCAAGGAGCUGCAUGGAGAGAAUCGUCGUCCCACGCCUUUGAUAGUCCUCGACGCGGGACGGGGGAUGUACGCAAUCUCUACUCAAAAGUCUAAACGACUCUCGGCAACGGAUAUCUCGGCUCUUGCAUCGAUGAAGAACGUAGCGAAAUGCGAUACUUGGUGUGAAUUGCAGAAUCCCGUGAACCAUCAAUUCUUUGAACGCAAGUUGCGCCCGAAGCCAUUCGGCCGAGGGCACGCCUGCCUGGGCGUCGUGAAUCCCCUUGCCCCUAGGCACCCGCAUGAGCAUUGGCGGGGACAUAUGCUGGGGCGCAGAAUAUGGUCUCCCGUGGGAUCGGCAUGCACGGCAUGCCGAGGCGCGGUUGGCCGAAAAUCGAGCAUGGCGGUGACGGGCACCACGGCGUUCGGUGGAUCGAAUGAGAUUGGCUGCGUCGUGGGCUCGGCAUGCGGCGGGCUCCGGACUUUGAAUAUCCCCGAGUGCGAUCCCAGGUCAGGCGGGGCUACCCGCUGAGUUUAAGCAUAUCAAUAAGCGGAGGAAAAGAAACUAACGAGGAUUCCCUUAGUAGCGGC